CCAACACCCUGCCUACACUGAGCCCAUCAGUAAUAUCCACACAGGCUCUUCUAGGCAUCAUUCAUACUGUUCCUCCCAUCAUUGUCUAUACUGCCUACUCCCCUGCCAGGCAAGUGGUACACAGAUUCCCUCAGGUACUGUCUAUACUGGAGUCCCUCAACACUGUCACUGGGUCUGAGCGAGGAGGAGGAGAUCUGCACUGACUCCUACCCCUCACCCCCCAAAAAACCCUGUCCCAUUGGCCUGCCCCCUGAGGACGUUGAAAUCAGAUCUGGGAUGGCUGAGCAGCAGCCUAGAGCAGGGUUAUCCAGGACUUUUUCCCCCAGGACUUGUCGGAGCCUUGAAUCCACUGCCGUGUGUUAUGAGUGGUCAUUGCCUAUGAGUGAGAAAAGGAGGAGGCCUUUUCCUGCAGGACACCCAAGACAUGCCUGGUCCAGGCUACCCAGGAAAGCUAGUGGAGAAAAGCAGGUCCUCAGAAGCCCUCUCCAUGUGCCCACCGACCAAAGACUCCCAGGCUUCUGCUCUCUGCGGCACCCCAUCUCCCUAGACUCCUCAUAGGCCUCUCCAGCUCCUGCUGUUUUCCAAAUAUCCCCAGGCCUUUUCCUGCAGUGAUGUGAAUCCCACGUAGCCCUUGGCUCCCCAAAGGCUCCCUGUCUCUGAACCUCUGUGUCCAUUUCCUGCAGACCCCCCAGAGGUAUCCUUCUCUGGCUAUGAUAACAACUGGUACCUCAGCCAGAAUGAGGCCACCCUGACCUGCGACGCUCGCAGCAACCCAGAGCCCACAGGCUACAACUGGAGCACGACCAUGGGUCCCCUGCCACCCUUCGCUGUGGCCCAGGGUGCCCAGCUCCUGAUCCGUCCUGUGGGCAAACCAAUCAACACAACUUUCAUCUGCAACGUCACCAAUGCCCUAGGAGCUCGCCAGGCAGAACUGACCGUCCAGGUCAAAGAGGGACCUCCCAGUGAGCCCUCAGGCAUGUCCAGUAACGUCAUCAUCUUCCUGACUCUGGGAAUCGUGAUUCUUCUGACCCUCCUGGGGAUCGGGCUUUAUUUCUGUCGGUCCAGAUAUUCCUGUGAGUUCCUUUGGCACCAUCAUCUGUCUCCCUGGAGUAAGGAGUAUGCCAGCGCCUCGGCUAAUGGGGUAAGUGCAGUGUCGGAGCUAAGGAGGGUGUGGGGUCUGCACAGACUACAGACCAGACGUCUCCAGAUGUCCACAAGAGCCUGGGUCUUUCCUCCUGGUGCCCCAAGCAGCAUUUCCCAACCCUUCCUGCUGGGUAGAAUCCGCUGUAGAGUUUGCUAAGACGCAGCCCCAGACAGU
rnacentral:lncRNA from 1 species